rnacentral:rRNA from 1 species
GAUGAACGCUGGCUACAGGCUUAACACAUGCAAGUCGAGGGGAAACGACGGGGAAGCUUGCUUCCCCGGGCGUCGACCGGCGCACGGGUGAGUAACGCGUAUCCAACCUGCCUCUGACUGAGGGAUAACCCGUCGAAAGUCGGCCUAAUACCUCAUGGCAUCGUCUGCGGGCAUCCAACGACGAUUAAAGAUUUCAUCGGUCAGGGAUGGGGAUGCGUCUGAUUAGCUUGUUGGCGGGGUAACGGCCCACCAAGGCUACGAUCAGUAGGGGUUCUGAGAGGAAGGUCCCCCACAUUGGAACUGAGACACGGUCCAAACUCCUACGGGAGGCAGCAGUGAGGAAUAUUGGUCAAUGGGCGAGAGCCUGAACCAGCCAAGUAGCGUGCAGGAUGACGGCCCUAUGGGUUGUAAACUGCUUUUAUGCGGGGAUAAAGUGAGGGACGUGUCCUUCAUUGCAGGUACCGCAUGAAUAAGGACCGGCUAAUUCCGUGCCAGCAGCCGCGGUAAUACGGAAGGUCCGGGCGUUAUCCGGAUUUAUUGGGUUUAAAGGGAGCGUAGGCCGUGGAUUAAGCGUGUUGUGAAAUGCAGGUGCUCAACGUCUGCACUGCAGCGCGAACUGGUUCACUUGAGUGUGCGCAACGCAGGCGGAAUUCGUCGUGUAGCGGUGAAAUGCUUAGAUAUGACGAAGAACUCCGAUUGCGAAGGCAGCUUGCGGGAGCACAACUGACGCUGAAGCUCGAAAGUGCGGGUAUCGAACAGG